rnacentral:lncRNA from 1 species
GUUAUAUUGACAGAGAAGUGCCAACAAGAUUGUGCUUGUGAGCUGAAAUGAAGAAUAGGAGAUUUGGAAAAGUAGUUCUUCAAUGGCCACCUAUAAGGAAUGCAGGAAGGAAUUCCCAGGCCUCUUAACUGUGGUCUGACAAUGAUGAAGUGAGCAGGAAGAAUGGAGACAUACUGAAGAGAGAGGGAGUUAAAAUGCAAAUGUCUUCAAUAUUUAACCAAGAGAUCGAUGAAAGCAAAUUGUUCUCUGACAACCAGCUAGUUACUUUGCUUCAGGUGAAAUACUGCUCUAAGUACUACCAUUACGAGAGAGUCUACUACUACCAUUGUGAGGAGUUUUUUCUCUUUAUUUUCCAUUACUUCCUGCAUUUCUUUUCCACCCUAUUUUUGUUAUCUCUCCUUCAAGAGUCUCCUUAUAAGAUAAACCUGGAAUUAUGCAGUAGUACAAACCAUCUAGUUGCUACAGAGUUGUGUAUCAGUCAAGCUCCA